rnacentral:rRNA from 1 species
CCCAGACUCCUACGGGAGGCAGCAGUGGGGGAUAUUGCACAAUGGGGGAAACCCUGAUGCAGCGACGCCGCGUGGGCGAAGAAGUAUUUCGGUAUGUAAAGCCCUAUCAGCAGGGAAGAAGAAAUGACGGUACCUGAGUAAGAAGCACCGGCUAAAUACGUGCCAGCAGCCGCGGUAAUACGUAUGGAGCAAGCGUUAUCCGGAUUUACUGGGUGUAAAGGGAGCGUAGGCGGCCUGCCAAGUCUGAUGUGAAAUACCGGGGCUCAACCCCGGGGCUGCAUUGGAAACUGGCAGGCUGGAGUGUCGGAGAGGCAGGCGGAAUUCCUAGUGUAGCGGUAAAAUGCGUAGAUAUUAGGAGGAACACCAGUGGCGAAGGCGGCCUGCUGGACGAUGACUGACGCUGAGGCUCGAAAGCGUGGGGAGCAAACAGGAUUAGAUACCCUUGUA